rnacentral:rRNA from 1 species
GAUGAACGCUGGCGGCGUGCCUAAUACAUGCAAGUCGAGCGAACAGACGAGGAGCUUGCUCCUCUGACGUUAGCGGCGGACGGGUGAGUAACACGUGGAUAACCUACCUAUAAGACUGGGAUCACUUCGGGAAACCGGAGCUAAUACCGGAUAAUAUAUUGAACCGCAUGGUUCAAUAGUGAAUGACGGUUUUGCUGUCACUUAUAGAUGGAUCCGCGCCGCAUUAGCUAGUUGGUAAGGUAACGGCUUACCAAGGCAACGAUGCGUAGCCGAACUGAGAGGGUGAUCGGCCACACUGGAACUGAGACACGGUCCAGACUCCUACGGGAGGCAGCAGUAGGGAAUCUUCCGCAAUGGGCGAAAGCCUGACGGAGCAACGCCGCGUGAGUGAUGAAGGUCUUCGGAUCGUAAAACUCUGUUAUUAGGGAAGAACAAAUGUGUAAGUAACUAUGCACGUCUUGACGGUACCUAAUCAGAAAGCCACGGCUAACUACGUG